UCUCCCUUUAUACAAAUUUCAUUUAUAUGGCAGACCUUUAAACUCUUCUUGAACUUGCUUGCUCUCUUCCUCUCUAAAUUUUUCCUCUUCCUCCAGUAACUCAAAUAUACUCAAAAUCUUCCUUGUACACAAUAAGAUCUCUUGGAGCAUACCACUCAUUCCUAAACCAAAAAUACAUAUCUUCCUUUUAUUCCUUCUGUUUCUCUUCCAAAGCGCAGGAGUUCUCCAUGAUUAGGAUUAGACAAUGUGAAUGUUUUUGCAACCUCACACAGUAAUGAGCACAGAACUGAAGUACUGAUAGACAAAUGCAAGCUUAGUGGAUGAGAAGAUAGGGAGGUAAAGGGACGUCCCUC
rnacentral:lncRNA from 1 species